UUCCUUUUAUUUUGAUAAUUGUUUUACUAAUUAUAACACCUUUUCAUAGCAAAAUGGAUUAAAUUGACAAAUUAUUUAGUUUUACAAGAUAUCUCAAGUGUGAGAGUUUUCCAAGCCAAGACGGAAUUGAACCAGCUAUGAAGUUCUUGCUAACAUCAAGAAUACCAAGUUCUUCCAUCUGCAACAUUUCAUCUGGGAGAAAGCCAUGAAGUCUGUUGCUCCCCAAAUUCAGUCUCUGCAACUGCCUCAGCUCUCCACAAGCUGCUGGAAUUGUUCCAUCCAGGUAAUUUUCCUGCAGAUUUAGGGUCACGAGACCACUCAAGUUGCCAAUACCAUCCGGAAUCUCUCCUCUUAUACUGCUAUUCAAAAGAUUGAAAUAAUAGAGGUCUUUUGAAAGAUCUCCAAUGGAAGCUGGUAAACUCCCAUCAAAUAAACAAGUGCGUAAGUUCAGUUUUUGCAGAAACGAACAGUUUGCAAGGGUAGGUAGGAAACUGAGGCAGGAAUCGCUUACUAGGACAAAGGGCAAGUCAGACAGCUCCGGAUGGACCACCUAUAACAGUGAUGGUUAUGGUUUAUUGAGAAAUAUCUUGAAAUUAAUGCAUCUAACAGCUCAAAUACAGGAAAAGAAAGAAUGAUUGAGUUCUGGGGCCAGAAGAAGCCGUCUGGACGGUACUUUGUAGUCUUGCAUUUGAUGCCACAAACUUACCCCACUUGCAAGAACGAUCGCUGAGGACCUCCAUUGAUGCAGAUUAUGAACUAUGGUCAUAGCUUGCAAAAGCUGACUAAUUUCCUUAGUUCAAGUCAGGUUGUGUAUGAUCAUUAAUGUAUACCCCAUGCCUGCAAGAGCAAUGAGCUGGAUGCCAUAUACGCUCUAGCUGUCUUCUAGUUUGAACAUUAUGAUACUGGGCAUAAGCCAGUUCAGCUAUCAUUAACAGAUUCAA